rnacentral:rRNA from 1 species
AGCGAACGCUGGCGGCAUGCCUAACACAUGCAAGUCGAACGAACCCUUCGGGGUUAGUGGCGGACGGGUGAGUAACACGUGUGAACCUGCCCUUAGGUUCGGAAUAACUCAGGGAAACUUGUGCUAAUACCGAAUGUUGCCUUCGGUGGAAAGAUUUAUCGCCUUUAGAUCGGCCCGCGUCUGAUUAGCUAGUUGGUGAGGUAAAGGCUCACCAAGGCGACGAUCAGUAGCUGGUCUGAGAGGAUGAUCAGCCACAUUGGGACUGAGACACGGCCCAAACUCCUACGGGAGGCAGCAGUGGGGAAUCUUGCACAAUGGGCGAAAGCCUGAUGCAGCCAUGCCGCGUGAAUGAUGAAGGUCUUAGGAUUGUAAAAUUCUUUCACCGGGGACGAUAAUGACGGUACCCGGAGAAGAAGCCCCGGCUAACUUCGUG